AGGAGCUCAGACGGCAGCAGAUCGUCAGAAGAGACACAACCACUAUUACUUUGUCAACGUUUUUGACUCUUGAGGAACGAAACAAUGCAGCUGGAAUCUGAAACCAGGAAAAAGUGGGACAAACAAAUCAGAGAGUUUUAGAGCUGAAGAAAACUUCAGGACGACUUCGGUUCUGAAAAAUCAGGGCGCCGUGACGGCCGUCGUUGAUUACACAACACUCUGGACUCUCCUCCUGAGUCAGCUGAUCUACUGAACUUGACCCGGUUUCUGUAAACGCAGCUGAACCUUCGAUAUAGAACGCUCCAGUCUGCUGAAGGUGACGCACUUUAAACAGGUUUUAAUUGGGACACGAGUCACGACCGUCGCCUCGCUUCACGCUCUUUAUGGAGGACACCGCCACAAAUAAAUCUCCCUGGUGACCACGUGGGCUCUGGCUCCAGGAAAAGCAGGAAACCUGCUCAGGUCCGGGCGGAGGACGUCCACCUGGCUGAAGACGCUGGACUCCUCGUAGGGGAUCCUGGUCGGGUAGAGGUUAGCGGUGUCCUCCGGAGGGAACAGGUGCCAGCGCUUCCUACGCCAACAGUCUGAACCGGAUCAGUUUGUCUCCGAGGCGGUCAGAGAGAUGCUCAGCAGUCCAGCGGAGAACCGGCCAGCCUCCCGUCAUGUUCCUGAAGACUGCUGGCUGCUGCAGGUGAUGCAGGAUCCUCCGGGUCUCCUCUGGGCUGAACGGGUUCGUGGAGUCGGAGGCAGCCAUGACCUCUAGUAGCAACACAGAGGACGUACUGUAGGUUCAGGUUAGCUGGUGUUAAAGUUGACAUUCACACACAUUAUACCAGAGUCUACCGGCUGAGAUGUGUCUGAGAUGCAGCAGUAGCUCAGGCUGUGGGGACUUGACUUAGGAACCGGUUCAAGUCCCCGCACGGACAAAGUACGGAGGUGCCAAUACGCCUCCACUGCACAGGAGACUAAAUGUUACUGUGUGCUGUGCUGUGUAUAACACAAUGUGUGACAAUAAAUAAAAAUUGAUUUACGUCAAACUAUUUUA